UGUGUCUACUCGAGUAUUUUUUAGAACUUCUAAUAUACUCACUAUUAACUCGAUACCGAACUAGUGUACAACCUAUGGAAAUUUUGGGGUCUAACUCGGGACCCAAUUAGUAUAGUACCCGCAUUAACCCGGUACCCAACUAGAGUACAUUUUUGAACUCGGGACCCAACUCGGAUGCGCUGAGUGUGGGUACAUUUACGGUCACCCUAGUUUUGUCCUUACCUCUCUGCUUGUUCCAUUUCUGACUAAGACGUGUAAACUAUUUCAAAGUCCAAACUAUUUAGACACUCGUGGUAACCAAAACUUUAUUCAUUAUUCGUAGCCUUAUGUAAUUCUCCGUCAUUGCUGUAUAGCUAAAUCUCAUUUGUGUUUAUUUAAAUCUUAUAUUUUGUGGUA